GUUGUAUUUGUGGAUAAUGUUGUCCUUGAUUAUGUAAUCGUGUGUGCAUAUAUAUAUAUAUGCACACACGUUGCACACACGAUUACAUAAUCAAGGACAACAAUAUAUAUAUA